GACGAACGCUGGCGGCGUGCCCAAUACAUGCAAGUAGAACGCUGAAGGAGGAGCUUGCUUCUCCGGAUGAGUUGCGAACGGGUGAGUAACGCGUAGGUAACCUGCCUGGUAGCGGGGGAUAACUAUUGGAAACGAUAGCUAAUACCGCAUAAGAGUAGAUGUCGCAUGACAUUUGCUUAAAAGGUGCAACUGCACCACUACCAGAUGGACCUGCGUUGUAUUAGCUAGUUGGUGGGGUAACGGCUCACCAAGGCAACGAUACAUAGCCGACCUGAGAGGGUGAUCGGCCACACUGGGACUGAGACACGGCCCAGACUCCUACGGGAGGCAGCAGUAGGGAAUCUUCGGCAAUGGACGGAAGUCUGACCGAGCAACGCCGCGUGAGUGAAGAAGGUUUUCGGAUCGUAAAGCUCUGUUGUAAGAGAAGAACGAGUGUGAGAGUGGAAAGUUCACACUGUGACGGUAUCUUACCAGAAAGGGACGGCUAACUACGUG
rnacentral:rRNA from 1 species